rnacentral:rRNA from 1 species
GAUGAACGCUAGCUACAGGCUUAACACAUGCAAGUCGAGGGGAAACGAUAGAGGAAGCUUGCUUUUUCUAGGCGUCGACCGGCGCACGGGUGAGUAACGCGUAUCCAACCUGCCCAUCACUUGGGGAUAACCUUGCGAAAGUAAGACUAAUACCCAAUGACGUCUCUAGAAGACAUCUGAAAGAGAUUAAAGAUUUAUCGGUGAUGGAUGGGGAUGCGUCUGAUUAGCUUGUUGGCGGGGUAACGGCCCACCAAGGCGACGAUCAGUAGGGGUUCUGAGAGGAAGGUCCCCCACAUUGGAACUGAGACACGGUCCAAACUCCUACGGGAGGCAGCAGUGAGGAAUAUUGGUCAAUGGACGAGAGUCUGAACCAGCCAAGUAGCGUGCAGGAUGACGGCCCUAUGGGUUGUAAACUGCUUUUAUAAGGGAAUAAAGUGAGUCUCGUGAGACUUUUUGCAUGUACCUUAUGAGUAAGGACCGGCUAAUUCCGUGCCAGCCGCCGCGGUAA